GACACACUCCCUUAGAUCCACCUCUGGGGCUAGAGGGCAUCAGCCAGCUCUGGCGGUGCUCUUUAGGCCGGCAGCCUUGUGCCUGCUCUAUCGGGGGUGCUUGAGUCAUAAGUGUGUGACAGCAAUACACCUGAGCCUGUGACUUUUUGAAUGUGACUGGUGCUUGGUCUUCUGCGAGUCAUUCUGCCAUAUUCAAGUUGCAGGCUCGGACAAU